AGAUGAUCAGCACACUGACAUGCUGAGGAGCUUAAACUCAGCGUGUGUUCUUCUCCCAGUCAGUGCAGAUCACCAUGAUCAUUUUGACUGUACUGCUGCUCUCAGCUGUUAAAGGCAACACUGCUGCAGAUGGAAUAUACCCACUCUCCUCUGAAAAGCAUGUAUUGGAGGGAGCAGAUGUCACUCUCUCCUGUAACUACAGUGCAGCUACAGGAAACAGGUUCCAGUGGUAUCACCAGUAUCCUGGAUCCAGACCAGAAUUCCUCCUUUACCUGACGGAGUUUAAUAACGCAUCUGAUUCCGCUCUUCGUCUGACAGCAGAGGUUAAGAAACAGUUUGAGCAUGUGGAUCUAAAGAUCUCUCAUACUGUAAUGUCAGACUCUGCACUGUACUACUGUGCUCUGCAGCCCACAGUUACAGGAAACUCAGCUACACUGUACAAAAACUGACUUCACUCACACAACAUAACAUUUUCUACAACAAUAGACUAGUAAGUGUAAACAGAGCAUUCUGGAAGACGGCCUCAUCACACUUUCUUACAACUGUACAAAAGGCUUUCAGAAAUGACCCUUGAGGCCUCAUUGCCAAGACUUUUACAGUAGAGACAGUGACACUUUACCUAAGAGGAUUCAUGAGAAUUGGAUCCACUGAGUCAUUCUGAUGUCUGAUGUGACUGG